GUAUAUUAUCCCUUUCAUUCAAUUCUAUUGUUGACCAGCUCUUUAGUGUGGCGAUGCUGAUUUUCAGAUAAUAAACAAAGUAAACGCACAAGCAUGUAUGUUAACAAGGAUAACUUGCAAAAACAUAUGUAACUUACUUUGAUAUUAAUUAUUUUAUUUCUAAUAAUAUUUUAAUCCAUAUAUACAUAAUUAGAACUGAACAUAUAUUUUCGAUCAAUCUAAAGUACUCUAUCAUUCAUGUGUGAUAAUCAUUUUCUGUUUCUAUAUUCCAUAUAUAUAGUUAGAUACUAAACAUUAAAUAAAUUCUGAAAUAGACACUUGCAAUAUCAACAAGGAAUAUAUUAUAAGCAAGUGGGCUCGUCUUGGCCUGCAUUUCAAUCUGCAUACCGUAAGAUAACAUCAGCUUAGCUUGGCUUGUUGGACGACAUUCCACUGUUUGAUCGAUCUCCUUAACUUGACAAUUCUGUCUAAAAUAUUACCGUCAGAAAGUAAAGACCAUAUCUUUUUCCUGGGGACCUUAAGAUGAUGACCAUGUUAUCGUUUCAUCUUUCAUCAAAUUGCUUCUGUCGGCAAACGCUUCACCUGUAAUACAGAAGUACAGAAGUACCUCCACCCAUAGUUAGAGCAUUGAGUAUAAAUUAAUAAAAUAAAACUUCCAGAGUCAAUGUUACUUUCUCUAUUUUACUUUUUUGACUGAACUUUCUUGUUUGAAUUAGCAUUUCCUAACUUUCGUGCUUGGAUUAGCAUUUCCUUUAAUUUGAAAUGGAGAGACAUGGUGGAACCGAAGUUAGAAAAAGCGGAUCCAGGUGGAGUCGAACCACCAUCCUCCCAGACGUAGCAGUUUGGGCGCUCAUACCGACUUGAGCUCAUGGAUCCAUUAGCAAUGCACCACCACAUCCAACUCAUUGAAAAUUACCUCACUUAAAAGAGAGAUUAAUCUAACUAGACCCGAAAAAAUUGAGAGAUUAAUCUGGAGAAAGUUUUCUAGCGGCUUAAAGACCCAGUUUUCCAUAAAAGCCAUUUUCCAACUGUAAAGCUUCGGCCUUGUGACAAAAAGAAACAUAAAAAUGAUAAAAACGACGUAGGUUUUAUAAUUAUUUUUUUUUUUGGGUAGGUCUAACUAGAACAAAAGCCGGACUAAAUGACGCUAUAAUCCUUCUCUUCUGAAAAUACCUCAUAAAAUAAAUGGCUAUCAAAAGCUAGAAACGAAAUACAAUCUACAAGCAGAGCCUCGCACACUGGGGGCACUUUGUUUGAAUAAUGUACACCAGACAUGACAGGACUUACUGAAACCAACUUAAAAGAUGGAUACUUACAAAUUAUGAGACUAACUUUCAAACAAAUGACGGUGAAAUAAACUUUACGAAAAUAAUUAGCAGAGAUUAUACCGUAUACCCCAAAACUAUAGCAGGAGCAAGAGAUUUAAUGCUAACGACUGGGGUUUAUUUAUGAUUCAAUAACGUCGGAGUGUGCCUAUCUGAAUGUAAGUACAGCAAG